CAGCCGCCACGGUAAUACGUAGGUGGCAAGCGUUGUCCGGAAUUAUUGGGCGUAAAGGGCUCGCAGGCGGUUUCUUAAGUCUGAUGUGAAAGCCCCCGGCUCAACCGGGGAGGGUCAUUGGAAACUGGGAAACUUGAGUGCAGAAGAGGAGAGUGGAACUCCACGUGUAGCGGUGAAAUGCGUAGAGAUGUGGAGGAACACCAGUGGCGAAGGCGACUCUCUGGUCUGUAACUGACGCUGAGGAGCGAAAGCGUGGGGAGCGAACAGGAUUAGAUACCCCUGUAGUCCCUGUCUCUUAUAC
rnacentral:rRNA from 1 species